rnacentral:lncRNA from 1 species
GCUCGUGAGUCUCCACCCUCACCGGCACCCGUUUCUUUCUUGCGGUAACAAAUCUAUUUGUUUUGGAACGUAGCACCUGCUCCAUGGUCGCAUGCGAAUCUACAACCUCAUUUGCCAUAUAUACAACUCUUACCUUUUUUUUUUUUUUUUUUUUGUUCUAAACAUGUAGAGCACAUUUUACGAGGAAUUAGAAAAUAAAAGCCCGC